rnacentral:misc_RNA from 1 species
GAUGAAGAACGCAGUGAAAUGCGAUAAGUAAAGUGAAUUGCAGAAUUCAGUGAAUCAUCGAAUCUUUGAACGCACAUUGCGCCCCUUGGUAUUCCGAGGGGCAUGCCUGUUCGAGCGUCAUUAUAACCCCUCAAGCUCAGCUUGGUGUUGGGGCCUGCUGCACUGGCAGCCCUUAAAAUCAGUGGCGGCGCCAUCUGGCUCUAAGCGUAGUAAUUCUUCUCGCUAUGGAGUCCUGGUGGAUGCUUGCCAUCAACCCCCAAUUUUUCUAUGGUUGACCUCGGAUCAGGUAGGGAUACCCGCUGAACUUAAGCAUAUCAAUAAGCGGAGGA